rnacentral:rRNA from 1 species
UACGUAGGAUCCAAGCGUUAUCCGGAAUUACUGGGUGUAAAGAGUUGCGUAGGUGGCAGAGUAAGUAUGGAGUGAAAGCGUUCGGCUCAACCGAAUAAACAUUUCAUAAACUGCUCAGCUAGAGAACGAGAGAGGUAGAUGGAAUUCCCAGUGUAGGAGUGAAAUCCGUAGAUAUUGGGAGGAACACCGAUGGCGUAGGCAGUCUACUGGCUCGUUUCUGACACUAAGGCACGAAAGCGUGGGUAGCAAACAGG